rnacentral:rRNA from 1 species
GUCUUGUUGAUUAGAAUAUCAGGUUUAUUCUGCCCAUUGAAUGAUUUUAAAAGGCUGCAGUAUAUUGACUGUACAAAGGUAGCAUAAUCAAUAGUUCUUUAAUUGAGAACUGGAAUGAAAGAGUGGAUGAGAUAUAAAUUGUCUCAAAUUAAAUAUUUGAAUUUAAAUUAAAAGUUAAAAUGCUUUUAUUAUAUUAUUAGACGAGAAGACCCUAUAGAAUUUUAUAAAAUUUAUUUUUUAAGUGAUUUAUGUAUUUAUGCUUAUUAAAUAUUUAUAUUUUACUGGGAGGGUAAUUAAAUUUAAUUAACUUUAAUGAUUUUAAAACAUAGAUAAAUGAUUUUUUUGAUUAUUAUUAUAAUUAUAAGAAUAAAUUACCUUAGGGAUAACAGCGUAAUAAUUUUGGAGAGCUCUUAUCGAUAAAAUUGUUUGCGACCUCGAUGUUGAAUUAUGAUAAAAAUUAAAUGGAGAUAUUUAAAAUUUUAGUCUGUUCGACUAUUAAAAUCAUACA